ACUGGUUACAAAAACGACACGCGGGGGGGAAUAAGUUAUAGUGUGUUAAAAUAUUUUUAAAAAAAAAAAGGUGUUUACAGUUGCCCCAUCCGGUGAGCUGAGGUGCUGACGUCAGGCCACUUCAAAGGAGUAAACACCAUGGUUGGGAUAUUUAAAUUAAUUUAUUUAAUGUAAAUUUCAGAGCAGGCUUCGUAUUUUUAUUUAGAAUACCUUUAUUACGUCAUAGUGAACCAUUAUAACGAAGCAGAGCCCGAAGAGGCGUUCAAGUCAUGUCAUUCAAACCCGUAUAUAUACACACAAGCAAAGUCCAAAAGAAAACCGUUCACUCAGCUUCUCGACGUAUGUUCAGAUAAAAUACUCCCACGCAAUCUAUAGGACCGUUAGCAGAACGGCUACAAGUGCUCCACAGAAAACGGUUGCGUCAAAACUAAAAAGGUUACCGCAUAAACCCCCUGAGCUAAUUAACCACCAAAUAUUAUCCCAAUUCUCAUGACGCGCCGUGAACGCAGCACUAUAGUCAUAAUGCGGAUAUUUGUGUUCGAUCUGAGUUUGGCAACUUCCACAUGGACAAGGGCAUUAAACUAGCUUCUUCUUAAAUCUAUCAUAUUCCACUGGUGAGUUCACGGGCCCGCAAGUCGCGACGGGUCGAGCCGGCCCCAUGUGCUGGGCGCCGGUGACUCAGCCUCCAUGUUGCGCCGGCAGCGCAGAGCCGCCAUGUUAUCAAACUGCUGCGGGCGUGCACGACGUGCACUCGGGAAGGGAUGCGCGUUCACGAGAGGAGCAAGAGAACUAUGACUGGCAGAAAGAGGGGGGUAUAUCUAGCUACUCUUAAUAACUGUACCAGUUUGUCAAAGGGAAAACAUCCAGGAGGAUUAAGACAAAGCCGAAUUGAUCAUCACACCCGAUUACACUGUUGGACGACCAACAAAAGCUUCAAGUUUAGAAAAAGGUCACCAACCUGUGCCCACCAAGACGUCCCCUGAUUUGGAGCUGAGGGAAAAAGACAGACUGUGGUCGGCACCGGAUUUUUAUAUCGAGCCAGGAGAGAGGGAGGGCUGCGCUCGAGCUCGCUGCUGUCAGACUGAGAAAUAAGGGGUGCUAUUGGCUGCGGCUGCACAACUGCUAUCGAGGCGAUUGGAUGACAAGUGCAUCACCGGACACGGAGAGCACGGUCAAAACGACAGCUGCAAAGCAGGAUGGACAGGCUCGCAACGAGACAGUCAACCUACACUCACCUGCUAACAAGCAAAGACCAAGAAGAGCCAAUUUCAAUUUUUUCCAAGACAUUUAUUUUUUAUUAGUUACCAGCAGCUUUCUUUCCAAUCAAAUUUGUGGCUUUAAGAUCAAGAUACAGUUCUAAACCAUUUUCCAACUUAAACUUAACAGAAGAGGCACCGUCAUGUGAUUCAGGUAGGUGACAAUGCCACAUUGUUCUUUUUUCCUGCGGAAACUUUUGCGAUGGGUUUUAAUCAGCAUAAGCCAGUCCUUUAGUAGAGAGCUAUGCCUCAGAGAAGAUGUUCCAGGGUAGGGGGGGGA